UACGUAGGUGACAAGCGUUGUCCGGAUUUACUGGGCGUAAAGAGCGCGCAGGCGGUCGUUCAAGUCGAGUGUGAAAGCCCCCGGCUCAACUGGGGAGGGUCACGCGAUACUGAUCGACUCGAAGGCAGGAGAGGGUAGUGGAAUUCCCGGUGUAGCGGUGGAAUGGCGUAGAGAUCGGGAAGAACAUCAGUGGCGAAGGCGGACCUGCUGGGCUGUUGCUGACGCUGAGGCGCGACAGCGUGGGGAGCAAACGAGG
rnacentral:rRNA from 1 species